GGUUAAGCGACUAAGCGUACACGGUGGAUGCCCUGGCAGUCAGAGGCGAUGAAGGACGUGCUAAUCUGCGAUAAGCGUCGGUAAGGUGAUAUGAACCGUUAUAACCGGCGAUUUCCGAAUGGGGAAACCCAGUGUGUUUCGACACACUAUCAUUAACUGAAUCCAUAGGUUAAUGAGGCGAACCGGGGGGACUGAAACAUCUAAGUACCCCGAGGAAAAGAAAUCAACCGAGAUUCCCCCAGUAGCGGCGAGCGAACGGGGAGCAGCCCAGAGCCUGAAUCAGUAUGUGUGUUAGUGGAAGCGUCUGGAAAGGCGCGCGAUACAGGGUGACAGCCCCGUACACAAAAAUGCACAUGCUGUGAGCUCGAUGAGUAGGGCGGGACACGUGGUAUCCUGUCUGAAUAUGGGGGGACCAUCCUCCAAGGCUAAAUACUCCUGACUGACCGAUAGUGAACCAGUACCGUGAGGGAAAGGCGAAAAGAACCCCGGCGAGGGGAGUGAAAAAGAACCUGAAACCGUGUACGUACAAGCAGUGGGAGCACGCUUAGGCGUGUGACUGCGUACCUUUUGUAUAAUGGGUCAGCGACUUAUAUUCUGUAGCAAGGUUAACCGAAUAGGGGAGCCGAAGGGAAACCGAGUCUUAACUGGGCGUUAAGUUGCAGGGUAUAGACCCGAAACCCGGUGAUCUAGCCAUGGGCAGGUUGAAGGUUGGGUAACACUAACUGGAGGACCGAACCGACUAAUGUUGAAAAAUUAGCGGAUGACUUGUGGCUGGGGGUGAAAGGCCAAUCAAACCGGGAGAUAGCUGGUUCUCCCCGAAAGCUAUUUAGGUAGCGCCUCGUGAAUUCAUCUCCGGGGGUAGAGCACUGUUUCGGCAAGGGGGUCAUCCCGACUUACCAACCCGAUGCAAACUGCGAAUACCGGAGAAUGUUAUCACGGGAGACACACGGCGGGUGCUAACGUCCGUCGUGAAGAGGGAAACAACCCAGACCGCCAGCUAAGGUCCCAAAGUCAUGGUUAAGUGGGAAACGAUGUGGGAAGGCCCAGACAGCCAGGAUGUUGGCUUAGAAGCAGCCAUCAUUUAAAGAAAGCGUAAUAGCUCACUGGUCGAGUCGGCCUGCGCGGAAGAUGUAACGGGGCUAAACCAUGCACCGAAGCUGCGGCAGCGACACUAUGUGUUGUUGGGUAGGGGAGCGUUCUGUAAGCCUGUGAAGGUGUACUGUGAGG
rnacentral:rRNA from 1 species